rnacentral:rRNA from 1 species
UACGUAGGUGGCAAGCGUUGUCCGGAUUUAUUGGGUUUAAAGGGUGCGUAGGCGGCUUUGUAAGUCAGUGGUGAAAUAUGGCAGCUCAACCUGUCAAGGUGCCAUUGAUACUGCGGAGCUUGAGUACAGAUGAGGUAGGCGGAAUUGACGGUGUAGCGGUGAAAUGCUUAGAUAUCGUCAAGAACACCUAUAGCGAAGGCAGCUUACUACGGCUGUAACUGACGCUGAGGCACGAAAGUGUGGGGAGUCAAACAGG